rnacentral:rRNA from 1 species
UACGGAGGGUGCAAGCGUUAUCCGGAUUUACGGGGCUUAAAGGGUGCGUAGGUGGGCAAGUAAGUCAGUGGUGAAAUCUCCGGGCUUAACCCGGAAACUGCCAUCGAUACUAUUUGUCUUGAAUACUGUGGAGGUCAGCGGAAUAUGUCAUGUAGCGGUGAAAUGCUUAGAUAUGACAUAGAACACCAGUUGCGAAGGCAGCUGGCUACACAGAUAUUGACACUGAGGCACGAAAGCGUGGGGAUCAAACAGG